rnacentral:rRNA from 1 species
UACAGAGGUCUCGAGCGUUAGGCGGAAUCACUGGGCUUAAAGCGUGUGUAGGUGGAUCGUUAAGUACCUUGUGAAAUCCAACGGCUUAACCGUGGAACUGCUUGGUAUACUGGCGGUCUUGAGCCAGCUAGGGGCUACCGGAACAAAUGGUGGAGCGGUGAAAUGCGUAGAUAUCAUUUGGAACGCCAAUGGUGAAAACAGGUAGCUGGGGCUGUGCUGACACUGAGACACGAAAGCCAGGGGAGCAAACGGG